GAUAACUGGUUUGUGGUGGCCAGGCGUUCAUAGCGACGUUGCUUUUUGAUCCUUCGAUGUCGGCUCUUACUAUCAUUGUGAAGCAGAAUUCACCAAGCGUUGGAUUGCUCACCCACUAAUAGGGAACGUGAGCUGGGAUUAGACCGUCNUGAGACAGGUU
rnacentral:ncRNA from 1 species